rnacentral:lncRNA from 1 species
CCGUUCCUCAGCAGGCUACUAAUACUCCGUGUCUCUAAACAACAGCUUAUGUUUCUUUACAAAAACCCUAGGUGGAGACAGGAGGAUCACCUGAACCUCGGAAGUGCUGGGAUUCCAGGCCCAAAGGACCAAGAUCAGAACCAACGAAACGUAUGCUUUCCUUCCAAGGGUUAGCUGAGUUGGCACAUCGGGAAUAUCAGGCAGGAGACUUUGAGGCAGCUGAGAGACACUGCAUGCAGCUCUGGAGACAAGAGCCUGACAAUACUGGUGUUCUUUUAUUACUUUCAUCUAUACAUUUCCAGUGUCGAAGGCUGGACAGAUCUGCUCACUUUAGCACCUUGGCAAUUAAACAGAAUCCCCUUCUAGCAGAAGCCUAUUCGAAUUUGGGAAAUGUAUACAAGGAAAGAGGGCAAUUACAGGAAGCAAUUGAGCAUUAUCGACAUGCUUUGCGGCUCAAGCCUGAUUUCAUUGAUGGUUAUAUUAACCUGGCAGCAGCCUUGGUAGCAGCAGGUGACAUGGAGGGAGCAGUGCAAGCAUACGUCUCUGCUCUUCAGUACAAUCCUGAUUUGUACUGUGUUCGCAGUGACCUGGGGAACCUGCUCAAAGCCCUGGGUCGCUUGGAAGAAGCCAAGGCAUGUUAUUUGAAAGCAAUUGAGACGCAACCAAACUUUGCUGUAGCCUGGAGUAAUCUCGGCUGUGUUUUCAAUGCACAAGGGGAGAUUUGGCUGGCAAUUCA